rnacentral:lncRNA from 1 species
CAAAACUCUGUCAAUUUGAUUCUACAAAGCACAUUGAAUUUCUGCACUGAUUUGAUACAUCUUAGAAAUUCAAAGUCUAGAGUCUUUAUUGUUUUGUAUUGAGAACACCACUAAUUGUAUAUCAAGUGUUCAAGUCAAACUUAAUUCUCUGUAUUUUUGUUUGAUCAGAAGUCUCUUGCCUGCGUGCUUGAGCAUUAGAAGUCUCUUGCUUAGUGCUUGAGCAUUGGAAGACUCUUGCGUGUGUGCUUGAGCAUUUUUGUGAAGUCUCU